rnacentral:lncRNA from 1 species
AUCAGACCCGAUUACAUGGCUUCAAGUCUUCCUUCUCCUUCAAAAAUUCUGCCACUCUUACGGAUCUCUUGCUCUCCACCUGUUUGUUGUGGUAUGCGUGCAGGACUCGGUUCAAUUAUGGGCUACGGAAGAACAUAGCCUAAGAUUCCACUUUAUCCGGACUUCAGGUAAAAAUCGAAUCUUUUGUCAGUACUGACAUCUUCUUCCAUCUACAUCACAACGACUACUCAUUCGGGGGGGCCUUCACCUGUACAAAAGGACAAAAAAAAUAAAAAGCAAAAGGACUGCGCUUGCUAACGAAAGGAGAGGAAUCAGCUCAUACCCAUUCAUUGAGAUAUUCCCAUUAUCAUUCUGGAGUUGGAAGAAGCCCUGCUUGAGCUUCCAAUCCCUUCUCUUCAUCUCUUCUCGUCCUCUCAUCAUAUCCAAAGUUGCUCCUGGCCACCCUCAAUUGUGGAUCACAAAUUUUGCUGUACUACCAAGGAAGAUGGAUUUCAAACAAGAAGUUGCUCCUGGCCAUCUUCAAUUGUGGAUCACAAAUUUUGCUGUACUACCAAGGAAGAUGGAUUUCAAACAAGAUUGAGGAAGACAGAUAAGUACAAAUUACCAAAGGUCUUGAAUUUUAGAUAAGCCUAAAAUGCCAAUUUUUAUGGUUCGAUUACGUAUGGGCUUGCGUGGCAUUAGACUAAUGAUUAAUCCAACAGCUGAAAGAAAAAUAUCUGGUGCACGGAGAGAGAUGAUAUGUGGAGUAGCAAAUAUUGCUGCUCCCAUGUCCAUCAUUGAUAUAAUCAGUGGUGGAACAAAGAUCAGAUAUUCUGUAAGACCUACCCAUCAGGCUUCACUAGUUCUCCUAAUGUAUCAGAGUGAGGAACACUGAAGCUAACUAACCUGUAAAUUGAAUAAGAAUGGUGGAAUGGAAUUCAUACGAUUUAGGGAUUGGAUACAUCUAAAGCAGAAUGCUUAUAGAAGUAGUGAAUACAUGAAUUUUUACAUAUCUGCCUGAUUUAUGUUCAAUGCUGGCUGAAAUCAAGUCAAUAGACAAAAGAUAGCCACCUGUAACUCUAGUGCUUUAAUCAAAAUUACGAAGUAUAAAUGACUCGAUCAAGUAACUAAGUAGUUUCACAACAGAGAGUAAAUUUAAAAUGGUCAUGUGUAGGUUACCAAAAUGAAUAUUUUUCUUAUGUUCUACAAGGAAAUGCAACAUAAUCACAAUAAAAUUAUCAUAGUAUUUUGACAGUAGUAGUAGAACAAUCAAGAAAAUAUGUCUGCUGAUAUGCCUCUAUAGUCCAUUUUAUGAAAGAAUUUUGUGAACCAUCAAAUAUGGAGAAAAUAGUGUGCAGAGAGAUGUGUUUCAGGUGUCAUAACUGAAAGGCAAAUAGAUAAGAGAUAUUUACUGUGAUGGUGUGAUUUAGUGUAGAAACAUUAAAGUGGUGCUCCCAUAAUCAGGAGAAAGCAAGAGGCACACAUGUAAAAUGCUCUUCCAAUUCUUACCCGUAGCUGGCUUCAGACUUCCUUCCCCUGCGAUCAUAUGAUUGAUGUCAAUUAGCAAAUAGUUGUGAUCAUUCUUGCUAGUGCACGGCUGUCCCAAAGGUACAAACUGCAAGAGACGUUUACAUUCUAACAGUAAAUAAUAACAUUUUUUUCCUAUGUCAAUCAGGGGGCUACUUUCAGUAGCUAAAGGGAGAAAACCACAUUCCUUCCUAAUGUGUUCAGUUUAGUCACCAGAAAUCAUUUGAAGCAGCUUCCCUUGGCUGACUUAUUUUGCUUCAGCCGAAAUUAACUUUGUCAUGCUCAAGAAUGGAAAAUCAUCAUAGACAGUUCACAGUUAAAAAUUCAGCAAUCUUCCUUAAAAUCAUAAAUAAAGGUGUCGACUGGUGAAAUGAAAUCACUACCUAUACCGCAAUCGGCUUAGCAUGCAUCUCACUAUAGAAAAGUCGAGAAAAAAGUUAUAUAGCUAAGCAAUAUGCAACAUCUGACAUUAUUGUAUUUACUUAAAGAACUGAUAGAUUGUGUUCAUUGGCUAUUUUCUUUGAACGAAUUGCAGUUGAAAUCAUCAACAACCAUCCUGCGUUUUAAUCUAAUAAGCUUGAAGAACUCACAGCAAUAUGACUUAUGUAAUUAGUUCAGAAAAAUGAAUUAUUUACAUGCAUACAAAUUUAUAACUAUUUGACCUAAACAAAUAUUCAUAUUGGGGUUAUCAGCCACAGAAAGAAACGUUGGUUUUCUUCUGAGUCGUAUAUCAGCUGACACAUAUUGUUAGAUGAAGAAUCAGGAUGUGAUCCAUGUGCAAAAUUUAGGCCAACCUAGGUAUCGACUUAUGUUUCCACUUUCCACCAAACUGAGAGGAAUUGAUAUGAACCAGCACACACCAAUGACAUGAUUUUAUACUUUUCUCUUGCACUGAUAACCUUCGGGAUUUGCAAGAAUAGCAUCUUAGAUCUAACAUUCUAGAACAGUAGACUUGACCACUACAUAUGAUAUCAUAUAAAGGUACUCGAGCACAGAUUAAUAAAUAGUUUCAUAAGAAUAGAACUUAUGCCAAAUUAAUCAGAAGGCAUGUGAGAAAACACAAAUUAAGGUUGCCUCCCAAUUAGAUGACAAUACCAUCUACACUAACUAGAUUGCAGUUGAUGCAGCACAUAAGUUUUUAGUUAAGACCAUCAUAUGUUGACAUUAAUGCAUAUGAGAAAUUCCAUACUGUGAUACCAAUCAGCUCCAUGAAAAUAGAUCUGAUUCAGUUGGGAAGCAACGUCACCAUGGUAGUAGGUGUAUAUCGUGUGAAUUUUGUCUUCAAGGACAAGUUUUAUUAGUGAUGAUAAUGAAUCAAAGAUUAGAAAGUGUCUCCUGCUGCCACCACUUUCUAGAUGAACCAUUGUUAAAAAUGUUCAAUGCAUUUGAAGACCAGCUACCAAACUCCAUUUGUAAUUAUUGUGCGGUAAAAGAACUUGAUGCUUCAGUAUGCAUUCAGCUUGACACAGAACAACCAACAACUCAAAGAUGUCAAAUAAUUACUGGCAUAGUACGUAGCUCAUAGUCUUCUUAAGCCUACUUUCUUCAGCCUACAAUGGGAAAAUAGCAAUCAAUAUCAACCAUGAAAAGAUAUGAAAUUUCAAAUUUGCACAAUACAAGUAUGUCCCUGAUUAUCAUUUACAUAAUUCACACUUGAAUGACUGCUAUAGAUAAUCAAUGUUCAUAUAAAGAAUACAGAUCAAAUCUAAAGCAGAAACAAGAAGGUAUAGGAUUUGAUCUCUCCAACCAAAGUGUCAUACCUCAUACUUUAGAUUACCCAUAUCCGUGACAGUUUAGGGAAAAAGAGUUGUGGAGUAUCCAAGAUCAAAAUAACACCCAAAUGCAUGUCUGCAACACCCAAUGCAGAGUGAAAACAAAUCUGGAUAGCAUGAUUGGUGAAUCAAAUGACAAAAAGCUUAUGACUGCAUUGAAGAUUCCAAUAGUUUAACAAGAAAGUGAAUACUGGAGACCCCAUUAGUAGAAUAUUCACCUGUAAUAGGUAGAUCAUAUAAGGGAGAAUUUCCUACAGAUUGAUUCUGAAUGCUAGAAAUUUUAGGUGGGGGUAAAACCACUAACAUUCUUACUUGCGUUUUUGCCUGAAGAGGAUGAUCCCACUAUUUCAAUUAACCGACCAUCUCACAGACCUCCUCCAAAGAGGAGGUCAAUCCUGACCACUCAUGAAGCAACAAAAAUCAUCAUAUUGUUCAAGAGAGAACAUUCGGUGGAACGUUAUGAACUCUACUAGAGGCUAGGGAUUAAAUUCAAGAUACCCUUCACAUCCACUGAGAAGAACUAGCCUCUUCCACUCAGCAUCAUCUAACCAUGGUGGUCAUUAACACCUCUUCGAUGCCCUGUUUUAUUAUGUUAGAUUAACAUAUUUUGUUAGGUUAGUGCUUACGGUUAAUGGGAAAAAAAGAUAUCAAUUUACGCCAAUUCACGAAUCUAAAUAAACAGAAUGAAAAUCUUAGGAAAAAGGAUAUGCAAUCUUUUAAAAUUAUAUAUGAAAUAGUUAUCAAUUUCUAGAUAUCACUCACGAAGACAUAAACAAAAUAACAGAACAUUCAACCUGGACUAGUUGACGAAAAGACCAAGUUUCUCUGAUCUAUGGAGAAGCGCAUUGGUUGAAGAACCCUACCACAUCCUCGCUUGGAACAGAUCCUGAGCCAGGGUUUCGAGGUCGACACAUAGCUAGAAGG